GCCGUGCGUGUUUUCAGCUCGUGGUCAUUAAUGUUGUCAUCUAAAAUUAGAUAUAAAUUUAAUAAAAAGUUUAAUGCUUGAUGAAAAGAUCAUAAAACUCGGAGGUUGUACGGUACACGUGCUAGUUGAAGUGGUCAUGGUGUUCGUCAAAUUUGACAUGAUAAAAGGUCGUUAUUUUAGCCUGUACUUAGCCUGUGUUAUAAACAUAC
rnacentral:lncRNA from 1 species